GCUCCUACGGGAGGCAGCAGUGGGGAAUAUUGCGCAAUGGGCGAAAGCCUGACGCAGCAACGCCGUGUGAGGGAUGAAGGCUUUCGGGUCGUAAACCUCUGUCAGAAGGGAAGAACGGGCAUUGGUCUAAUAGGCCUUUGUUUUGACGGUACCUUCAGAGGAAGCACCGGCUAACUCCGUGCCAGCAGCCGCGGGAAUACGGAGGGUGCAAGCGUUAUUCGGAAUUACUGGGCGUAAAGCGCACGUAGGCCGCUUUGUAAGUCAGGGGUGAAAUCCCACGGCUCAACCGUGGAACUGCCCUUGAAACUGCGAAGCUUGAAUCCUGGAGAGGGUGGCGGAAUUCCUGGUGUAGGAGUGAAAUCCGUAGAUAUCAGGAGGAACACCGGUGGCGAAGGCGGCCACCUGGACAGGUAUUGACGCUGAGGUGCGAAAGUGUGGGGAGCAAACAGGAUUAGAUACCCUGGUAGUC
rnacentral:rRNA from 1 species